rnacentral:rRNA from 1 species
UAGGGAAUUGUUCGCAAUGGGCGAAAGCCUGACGACGCAACGCCGCGUGGAGGACGAAGAUCUUCGGGUCGUAAACUCCUUUCGAUCGGGAAGAAUGGCUUCCGGGUUAACAGCCCGGAGGAAUGACGGUACCGAGAGAAGAAGCCCCGGCUAACUCUGUGCCAGCAGCCGCGGUAAGACAGAGGGUGCAAACGUUGUUCGGAAUUACUGGGCGUAAAGCGCGUGUAGGCGGCUUGGCAAGUCGGGUGUGAAAGCCCUGGGCUCAACCCAGGAAGUGCACUCGAAACUGCUUCGCUCGAGUAUCGGAGAGGAAAGCGGAAUUCUCGGUGUAGAGGUGAAAUUCGUAGAUAUCGAGAGGAACACCGGUGGCGAAGGCGGCUUUCUGGACGAUUACUGACGCUGAGACGCGAAAGCGUGGGGAGCAAA